rnacentral:rRNA from 1 species
ACAUGCAAGUUGAACGGUUGAUUCAAGGUAGCAAUAUUUUGGGUUAGCAGUGGCGUAAGGGUGCUUAACACGUGGGUAAUCUGCCGCGAAGUGUGGGAUAACUCGCUGAAAGGCGAGCUAAUACCGCAUGUGAUUUUCUUGAGGCAUCUCAGGGAAUUCAAACAUGGGUCGCAAGACCUGUGGUUUCGCGAUGAGCCCGCGGCCUAUCAGCUAGUUGGCGGGGUAAAAGCCCACCAAGGCUAAGACGGGUAGCUGGUCUGAGAGGACGACCAGCCACACUGGAACUGAGACACGGUCCAGACACCUACGGGUGGCAGCAGUCGAGAAUUUUUCACAAUGGGGGAAACCCUGAUGGAGCGACGCCGCGUGGGGGAUGAAGGGCUUCGGUUCGUAAACCCCUGUCAUUGGCGAACAAGUGUUGCAUUCUAAUACAGUGUAACUUGAUAGUAGCCGAAGAGGAAGGGACGGCUAACUCUGUGCCAGCAGCCGCGGUAAUACAGAGGUCCCGAGCGUUGUUCGGAUUCACUGGGCGUAAAGGGUGCGUAGGUGGUUGGUUAAGUUUGAGGUGAAAGCUCCGAGCUCAACUCGGAAAAUGCCUUGAAGACUAUCUGACUAGAGGAUUGGAGGGGAGAUUGGAAUUCUCGGUGUAGCAGUGAAAUGCGUAGAUAUCGAGAGGAACACCAGUGGCGAAGGCGAAUCUCUGGACAAUUCCUGACACUGAGCACGAAAGCCAAGGAGCAAACGGGAUUAGAUACCCCGGUAGUCUUGGCUUGUAACCGUGCGCCACUUGCUGUGAGCGAUUCGACCCCGCCUCGUGCCGUAGUUACAACGAUAAGUGCGCCGCCUGGGAAGUACGUCCGCAGAUUAAAACUCAA